UACGUAGGGCGCAAGCGUUGUCCGGAAUUAUUGGGCGUAAAGAGCUCGUAGGCGGUCUGUCGCGUCUGCCGUGAAAGCCCGUGGCUUAACUACGGGUCUGCGGUGGAUACGGGCAGGCUAGAGGCUGGUAGGGGCAAGCGGAAUUCCUGGUGUAGCGGUGAAAUGCGCAGAUAUCAGGAGGAACACCGGUGGCGAAGGCGGCUUGCUGGGCCAGUUCUGACGCUGAGGAGCGAAAGCGUGGGGAGCGAACAGG
rnacentral:rRNA from 1 species